rnacentral:RNase_P_RNA from 1 species
CCAGAGGGCCGGGCGACCGCGGGGUGUUUCGGCACCGCGAGGAAAGUCCGGGCUCCGCGAAACGACGGUGCCGGGUAACGCCCGGCGGGGGUGACCCCAGGGAAAGUGCCACAGAGAGCAGACCGCCAACGCCUUUCGGGGUGCGGCAAGGGUGAAAGGGUGCGGCAAGAGCGCACCGCGCGACCGGUAACGGAAGCGGCAUGGCAAACCCCACCGGGAGCAAGACCGAAUAGGGGCGGCAUAUGGGCUUCGUUUCAGCUCGUCGCCCGGGUUGGUUGCUUGAGCCGGCAUGCAAAUGCCGGCCUAGAGGAAUGGUCGCCGCCGUCCGCAAGGGCGGCACAGAACCCGGCUUACAGGCCCUCUGGUAUU